rnacentral:lncRNA from 1 species
CUCAACUUCUGAAGCAUAACCUCUGUAUUUGUUUCGUAAUGUUUUGAAUUAGAUCUGCUGCUGCUCCUUUCUUUUUCAUUUUUACUGGUUGCUGUCUUUGUCUUUCCUCUUUUGUACAGGAGCAGGCACCAAAUAAUAAACAAAAAUAUGCUGUCAUCCUCAACCUCUUGUGGGAUGGAGGAGAAGUCUGACAACUUAACUUGGCUUUGCUAUCCCUCAUGGGCAAGCAUGCUUCCUUUCCUUCCUCUGAUGCAUUGCAAGCGUAAUGUGUCUUGUCCUGCUGCCAAUACCACCACAACAGAUUACAGUGCUUCUCUGAGCAGAGAUACUGAUCAGCUUUUCCAGUGUGACACUGAUACUACGAAGAGGGAAAAAUUCCUUUCCAGUUGCAGUUUACAGCAAUGUUGGUUUGUGCUCAGUGAGAUAAGGUGAUGUGUAACACACACGAGUUCUAGCAGUGGAAACUGCGUGGACAGACUUGUAAAACCAAAACCUGAAGUCUCAAAGUUCAUGACAAAUACAAAAUCCUGAAAUUUCAAUUCCUGUGAUAUGAAGGACAGCUUGACUUGUGACUCUGGUAUGCUGCCUACCAUUAUUGCAAGGAGGGGAAAUAAUACAGUGGGUGACUUUCCUCUAAAAUUGAAAGCAGGAAAGAUGUCUGAGUGCAAAUGGAUAUGGCUCCUGUUAGCUCCUGGUGUGCACAGAGGUCAAAGGAAUUUGCUUUGUACAAGAUAUGGUUCGUGAAGACUUGUUAUUUCCUGCUUUGUAUAGUUUGCCUUACUUGGCAUCUUCCUCUAAGGUUAAGGGAUAUUGCCAACUUGCUGAAAGCCCAAAUAACUGUUGUGUAUUUUGGAAAACUGAUAUAUUAUGCUGAAAGACUAAAACAUUCUUACUUAUGAUGGCAGUUUUUUAUUAGGGAUAAAACAACCCUAACAGAUAUUGCACAGGGAGUUGAUGUGGGACAGGGUCAUCAAGGCAUGAAAUAUUAAAUCAGCUCAAAUGUGGGGAUAAAUCUUUAGGUUUUCUCUUUAACUUUUUUAAAUGUCUAGAAUGUUAGAUGCAUAUAAUUUACCUUAUUUUCCUCAGAAAAUAGAGAAUGUUCUUACAAACCCUUUUUUCCAGCAAGUUUCACUUCAGUAUUCCUUCCUAAUGGCAACGAUGCCUAUUACUGUCAGUGAUGAAUCCUUUGGCACUCUUAACUAAGCAUCUAAUGUCAUGCCAACCUUUCAUUCUUAACUAAUCUAGAUGUUAGCUGUUCU